UUUCUCUUGAAUGGUUUAGUAGUCUGUACUUCCUCCGUAACAUGUACUUUGGCAUUUUCAGAAUUUAGGUUCUGAUCUUGUUUUCGAUACUCUUCUUCAAUACGAAGAUGAUUUGCCAAAGCCUUAAGAGAUAUUUCCUCUUUCUUAUGUUUUAGACUUCUUUUAAAGUCUUUCCAAGAUGGAGGAAGUUUGUCUAUUAUGGAGGAUACCACAAUCAUUUCAUCCAUUUUCAUAUCAUAUUGCUUAAAUUGAUUCAGCAUCUUUUCAAUAUCACGAAAUUGUUCCAUAACAGAACGACCAUCAACCAUUUGAUAAUUAU
rnacentral:lncRNA from 1 species